rnacentral:miRNA from 10 species
UGGCAAAAAUGUGUUGAUUGUAAUGGUUCCUAUUUUGAUUAAUAAAGAUGUGUUUGAGCCUAGUUAAAAUGAUUUUAAAAAUCAUGGUCCAAAACCACAGUUACUUUUGCACUAA